rnacentral:rRNA from 1 species
GAUAAACGCUGGCGGCGUGCCUAACACAUGCAAGUCGAACGCCCUUUUGCGCAAGUGAGAGGGAGUGGCGGACGGGUGAGUACCACGUGGGUACCUACCUUGAGGUGAGGAAUACCACCGAGAAAUCGGUGACAAGACCGCAUACGCUUGGCAACAAGCAAAGUCUCGCAAGAGACGCCACAAGAUGGGCCUGCGCCUGAUUAGCUAGUUGGUGAGGUAAUGGCNCACCAAGGCGACGAUCAGUAGCUGGUCUGAGAGGAUGGUCAGCCACACUGGGAUUGAGAACGGCCAGACUCCUACGGGGGCAGCAGUGAGGAAUUUUCGUCAAUGGGGGCAACCCUGAACGAGCAACGCCGCGUGCAGGACGACACUUUUCGGAG